UUACAAUAGAUUACACUUUGUUUUGCCCUCGAAAGGAGAUGGUCAGAGAAUCUAUAUACUUUAAAUUUUUAAGUUUUUAUUUCCUAGUUACGCCUGUGUAUGUUAAGGGGUUUAUAAUCUUGGGUAAUUAGAUCAUUUUAAUUUGUUGUCUUACUUGUUCAGUUAUUUUUGUUAAUGUUUUUUAAAUUUCUUAUAGACUGAGCAAGUUGAAUUUUGUAAACAAACUUUAUGUAGACAGUUGUUUCAUAAAAAUGGCGUGUAAAGGUUUUAGCCAUAUAGCUGUUCUGCCCUGGAUAAUGAACAUUGGCCUGAUUAAGAAGUAGCUUGCCCUGGUUAAGAACAGGGCAGGAAAUACAUAAUCAGGGCAACAUAAUCAGGACAGGCCGGCUUAUUACUCAAAAUAAUUAUUUGGCACUUAUAAAAGGAACAUAAUCAGGUCAGGCCAGAUUGUGUACGACAGUCUAAUAUUAUUUCUCACUUAUUAUAGAAUGAACAUAAUUGGGGCAAAGGUGCUGAUAAGCCGCAAACGCCUGCGCAUAUAUAAGGGCGAGUUCGGGCGACUUUUCGAAUUAAAUUGACGGUUGUCCGCCGAAACCGCCUGCACUUUCCCGAACUCGCUCGAAACAUUCCUGAAAUGCAACACCUUGUAACAUAAACAUGGCGGAAGACAAUUAAAGAACACGCUUGAAGAGAAAGGAGAGCUUAAUGCACCAAACCUCUUCGAAUGUCUGGCACGAUAACACAACGAAUUAGCAGGUUGUCAUCAAAUAUUUUGGUAGCGAGCGGAAAUUCUUAGAGCCCCCAGAGCUUCUUGUAUUAUGCUUCAGAACAAGUCCAUUGACGUCUUUGAAGGAAUUCAUAUGAUUGAUGCCUUAAAAAGUGCUGCCAUAGCUACCCGAAAUCGGUUGAUGCUUACCAUGACAUUUGGUGUGAGAAAGCUAUAUUUUUAGCUCAAAAAGUGUGUUACUCCUGCAAAAUCUGGGACUUGUGGCCGUCAAAGAAAGAGGUCCAACAUUCCUGCUGAUAACAUUUCAGAAUAUUUCAAAUGGACAACAACUAUUCCAAUGUUGGUGCUGGAGUUUAUUUUUAAGUAAGAUGCGCUCUCUCAUCAAAAUUUAAGUGAAUUAAUUCAAUAGUAAGGUUAUAUUAAAAUAUUGGUAAUAAAUAGUAAAAAGUAAUAGUAGUAGUGUCGUAAAUAAUUAUAUAAUAAGAAAUACUCUCCCCUUUUUUUUGGUGAUGACAAACCUGCUUGAUUUCAAAAUGUUCCCCGGGCUCAGUAACUUCGCUGACAGUACCUGGGUCAAGGAGCAACUAAGUUUUUUUCUUUUCUCCAUUGAUGAUUGCGAUUGUGAUUGCUAUAAUGACAUGAUUAAUCCAUACCUUCCUUUUGUUAAAUUUUUCACACAUUAGUUAUAUACAAAUUGUAACAAAACAGGUAGCUGUAAUGAUAAUAUUUUUGCAAGGAUUUUUUGUAAAACACUGACCAUACACUGUUGUAUGGUAGUAACAAAACAGGUAGCUGCAAUGAUAAUAAUAUUUUUUAAGGAUAAAUACACUUAUUCUUAGCGUUUAA